rnacentral:rRNA from 1 species
UACGAAGGGUGCAAGCGUUAUCCGGAUUCAUUGGGUUUAAAGGGUGCGUAGGCGGAGUGUUAAGUCAGUGGAUGAAUCCUGCAGCUUAACUGUAGACUUGCCAUUGAUACUGGCACUCUUGAGUGCGCUUGAAGUAGGCGGAAUGUGCCGUGUAGCGGUGAAAUGCUUAGAUAUGGCACAGAACACCAAUUGCGAAGGCAGCUUACUAAGGCGAUACUGACGCUGAGGCACGAAAGCGUGGGGAUCGAACAGG